GACAGAGGUGCCAAGCGUUAGGCGGAAUCACUGGGCUUAAAGCGUGUGUAGGCGGCCCGUUAAGUGUCUUGUGAAAUCCCCCGGCUCAACCGGGGAACUGCUGGGCAUACUGGCGGGCUUGGGUCGCUCAGGGGCAGACGGAACAGGCGGUGGAGCGGUGAAAUGCGUAGAUAUCCUGAGGAACACCGGUGGCGAAAGCGGCGUGCUGGACACCUUCUGACGCUGAGGCGCGAAAGCCAGGGGAGCGAACGGG
rnacentral:rRNA from 1 species